rnacentral:lncRNA from 1 species
GUUGUCAUUUAAUAACAUGGAAGACAGCACUCAUCAUAACCGUCACAGAGCAAAAUAUCAGAGAGGGAGGUGUUAUCAUACAAAGUAGCUCCGUGCAAAAUGUGUAACUUGCGCCCUGGAUGUUGAAGUUGGAAGCAGACUUUAUACAGAAAUACAAAAACAGAAAAGAUCCUGUAAAUACCUAUGCACAUAAAAGCACGUUCUCCUCUUCGAGCCAUGAGAACAGCAGAGGAGAUGAGGAACCAGAACUGAACUUCACUGAGCUGAGUUUCCGAAAGAUGCCCAGGAGGAAGUGCCAGAACACACAUCCCAAAGACAUGGUGGGAUGAGGUCAGGUGAGGAGCAAAGAGGAAACUGCUGCAGAAAACAAAUGGCAGAUAGAGUUAAUGGAUUUUCUUACAAGCUGCACGUUUUCUUGACAAGGAACUGCGGAGACCAUUGCUGUAAAGACCUACAAAGGAUUCAGAAUACUGCUGGGUCAGCAAUUUUUGCCUUCGGUUUGUGUUGCAGAGCAGUAUUUGCAAGCUCAGGCAAAAGUCUAAUUGCAGUAUUACAGUACAGUGACAAACCUGAAUAAAAUUGCCUCUUUGAGAAAACUGAGGUAUGUGCAAACUGAAAUUAAAAAAAAAAAAAAAGAACACAUUACUUGUCUAAGACGCAUUCGUUCAUUCCUUCUCCUAAGUGGUUUAUCAAUGGGAGAUGCACCUGCACGAAAUAACUUCUAUUUCUACACAGGAAUAUAUUUAAAGGAAAAUCUGAAUGAAAACAACAGAGCAGGCUAAGGGAGUUUAUGAGUAGAGAUACUUAGGCAUAUAUCUUAAGGCUGUAAACAUGCUAUGUUCUUACUGCUGCUGACAGCGUGGUCUGUAAAUGAUGGCUGGCAAAUACGGCAGAUAAUCUCAUGGGACCAGAAGAAUGACUUGAAGCUCUAGAUGCUGAAGCAGAAUCCAGAACAGCCCUGCCACUGUAACUGAACAGUACCUUAAAUGACAAGGUCUGCUCCAAAAGUAAUGCCUCCUGUUUUAUUCUGCUGUCCCGUGACUUCAGAGGCGGAUGUUGGUGGUAAAGGUUGAACCUUCCCACCGAUAUCCCAUCAUAAUUUGCUGCUCUGUGACAGAUGGCAGCAGAGGGGAAGUCUGACAAAAUAGCAUCCAACAUGGAAGUACACAUGAAGCAGAAGUGUGUCAUGGAAUUCCUCCAUAUGGAAAAAAUGGCACCCACUGACGUUCAUCGACACUUGUUGAAUGCUUACAGAGACCACACAGCGGAUGGAUGCAAGCACAGUGAGGGUUGGGUGGUGUAUUUCAGCAGUGGCAACAGAAACAUGAAAGACAAGACACAUUCCAGACAGCCAUGCGCAUCUGUCACACCACAAAAUAAAGAGCAUCCUGAUCAGCUCAUCAGAGAGAAUCGGCUGAUUAUGAUCAGAGAAUUGUGCACAGAGGUGAAUAUCAGCCUCAAUGAAUUAGAAACAACAGUGGCAACAUUGAAAAAUCAUGACGUUUGCACUAGUUGGGUCCCACAAGUGGUCACAUAGGAACAGAAAUAACACUGUAUGCAUGUUUGUCAGGACCAAGCGAACCAAUACGAGGCUGAAGGUGACAGUUCCAUGGACCACAUCACUACUAGUGAUGAGACGUGGUGUCACCACCAAGAGCUAGAGUAAAAACAGCAGUCAAUGGAGAGGCAACAUGUGAGUUCCUCACUGAAGACAAAGUUCAAGAUGCAGCCCUCAGCAGGUAGAAGUGAUGUGCACUGUUUUUUUGGAUAGGAAAGGCAUGGUCCUUCUGGAUUUACUGGAACCCAGCAAGCCAUCAUCUCUUACCGCUACACUGCAACAGUGACUGAGCUGAAGGCUUGCACUUCCAGAGUUUCCUAUUUCUCUAUCAAAGAGUGUUG